AACGCAUCUUGCGCUCUUGGGUUAUUCCUAAGAGCAUGCUUGUUUGAGUAACAGAAAAGCUCAACCCCGCUCUCUUUAUUGCGAGUAGUUAUGGGUUAGGAUCGUGACAGUUUGUUGGAAGGCACUCUUCGUGAGUCUUACCAACUCUGUCGAAAUACAAGCGGCCGAACUUAAAAUUGUGUGAGCUUCGGCUAACUCAUCGUUAUAUAACUAUUUGUCUCGAUAAGUCAUGCACUCUUUUACUAAGUAGGCUUUGCAAAUUACGAUUCCUGAAAAUGGAGUCAGAUUUUAUUGCUUGUUCUCAAAUCAAGUAGGACUACCCGCUGAACUUAA
rnacentral:misc_RNA from 1 species